UACGAAGGGUGCUAGCGUUGUUCGGAAUCACUGGGCGUAAAGCGCGCGUAGGCGGCUUUUCAAGUCAGGGGUGAAAUCCUUGGGCUCAACCCAAGAAUUGCCUUUGAAACUGUAAAGCUGGAGUACUGGAGGGGAUAGCGGAAUUCCUAAUGUAGAGGUGAAAUUCGUAGAUAUUAGGAGGAACACCGGUGGCGAAGGCGGCUAUCUGGACAGUAACUGACGCUGAGGCGCGAAAGCGCGGGGAUCAAAC
rnacentral:rRNA from 1 species